rnacentral:siRNA from 1 species
CUUAAGGACCCGUUGGAUGGGAC